rnacentral:snoRNA from 12 species
AAUGUGGGUGAUGAAAACACGUCCUUAGGUUGGUCUUUUUUUGGCCGUUUUGGUCAAAGACUCUGAUCUUCCAAUGUUAGGAUUCGUCAUAGUUACACUGACACAUG